GGGCUUAAAAGCAGGAACUGAAGCUGAUAGUGUCAGUGUACACAUUCCCAUAAAGUAGAUAAUAGAGAAGGUAGCAAUUGUCCAAUAUCUUCCCCAAUAUGUAUCUGCCAUCACAGCCCCAAUGAGGGGUGUUAGGUAACACGUGCCUUGCCAAAUUGUGACAUUUCUAGCAGCUGAGACAUUUCCCUCAUGUAAUUUCUUGGUAAGAUAGGUAACAAGAUUAAGACAAAUGCCAUAGUACGCCAAACGUUCACAACAUUCAUUA
rnacentral:misc_RNA from 1 species